rnacentral:lncRNA from 1 species
UGGUCACACAUCACAACAAAAGCAUGAUAACUCAAAUGCAUUCCCUAAGAACCAUGAAAUGAAAUUAUAAAGCUGUCGGGAGGACUAUAAGCUGAUUUUGGGUGCACUUGGAUUGAAAUUAAGCUUUAGAAUCGUUUGCCUAAGAACCAGAAAAACAUGCAAUAUAAUUUAAACCUCAUAUUUUCCCAAUGAUGACCAGCUGAACAUAAUAUAUAUCAUUUCAUAGGUACCAACUGCAGUCCCUGAUACGCUCUUUGAAGCUAUAUGCUUAUGCAAAAGCACAAGGGUGAUUGCAUCCAAAGGAAAGGAAAUCACAAACUGGAAGUUGCAUCAGAUUUUUCUUUACUGCAGCUGUGGGAUGGUAGUUGGUACUUGGUAUGGUGGCUGAUAGCCUAUCAUCCAUAACAUACAUUUUCGGGUAUCAUAACUGAAAAUAUCAGGAAGGGAAAAUCACAUCUGCAACCAAAAUAAGCUGGAAGCGAGAUUGAUGAUUUCUUAUCUUUAGCAGGUAGCAAGUGCUACAUCCACCUUUGCAAUGCUAUUCUCAUCCUCCAUGUCAGUUGACCUUCUCAACCGUUUCCCAGUCCCAUAUGAAAGUAGUAGCAACAAUCUAAUUUAAGUUGAGAUGUCAAAAAUUAUUCAACUUUCAUUAAGCUUAUAGCCACUCAUAUAUUCAAAAUAUACCAGAAAAAAGAAGGGAACCAAAAAAAAAAAAAAAAAAAAAACCAACUGUUCCAAGUUUACUCUAUGCUGCAGCUGCUUAUUUUGUUUUAGUUGCAACAAUUGCUGCAUUUACUGAUCAGCAUGUAGUGAGAAUGAUUUAAAGAAUCUGAUGUAGAACAGAUGACAGAUUUUAUCGCGGUUGAGCUAGAAAAAGGACGUAGUGGGAAUUUGCAGUUUUGUCGUCCAAGAUCUGAUUAGGACACAAAAUACCAUUUCGGAAAGGGAACGACGCCACGAGUCUAACUCACCGCUUUGCCAUGACAUAUGAUGGAUUUUGGCAUUCUGAGGUCAUUUGGCCUUCCAAAACUGCAGUUAAAGUUUGGUAGUUAAUUUUCAAAUAAAUUCUGUUUUGGACAGUUUAGGAGUUACGUUAUUAAGACUCCAAAUUAAUUCUGUUUUUUUUCUUCAGUUUUAUGUAAUAACUCCCCUGACAGUUGAAGGGUUGAGGGUUGUUGAGAAUUGUGUAUUUAGACAGGUUUGUCUAACGUUUCUG